CACUUUUGUUGGGGAAGAAACCGACCGGAUUAAUACUUCGGUUGAAUGACGGUACCCAAAGAAUAAGCACCGGCUAACUUCGUGCCAGCAGCCGCGGUAAUACGAAGGGUGCAAGCGUUACUCGGAAUUACUGGGCGUAAAGCGUGCGUAGGCGGUUUGUUAAGUCUGUCGUGAAAGCCCCGGGCUCAACCUGGGAAUGGCGAUGGAUACUGGCAAGCUAGAGUGUGUCAGAGGAUGGUGGAAUUCCCGGUGUAGCGGUGAAAUGCGUAGAGAUCGGGAGGAACACCAGUGGCGAAGGCGGCCAUCUGGGACAACACUGACGCUGAGGCACGAAAGCGUGGGGAGCAAACAGGAUUAGAUACCCUGGUAGUCCACGCCCUAAACGAUGC
rnacentral:rRNA from 1 species